AAGUCGUAACAAGGUUUCCGUAGGUGAACCUGCGGAAGGAUCAUUACCGAGUUAGGGUCCUCUGGGCCCGAUCUCCCAACCCUUUGUUUAUUAUACCUUUUGUUGCUUCGGCGGGCCCGUUGUCUCACGACGACCGCCGGAGGACCGCUUAACGGCGUCCUCUGGUCCGCGCCCGCCGAUGGCCCCAAAAUCUCAAAAUUCUUGUAUGAAUCGUGUCUUUACCUAAGUCUUGAUUUAAUCAAAAACAAAACUUUCAACAACGGAUCUCUUGGUUCUG
rnacentral:misc_RNA from 1 species